rnacentral:lncRNA from 1 species
AACGGAUUCAAAAAUCUCUCUUUACAUCAGAGUAUAAAGAUAAAAUGAGUCAUUCCGGUCCCGACAAACUAAUUUUAUAGGUUAGACAUUUUGCCAACUAGUUAAUAAUCCUACUACCUUCACAUCAGAGUACAAAGAUUAAAAGAAUCAUUCCGGUCCCAAAAACACUAAUUGUAUAGGUUUGACAAUUUGCCAACUAGUUAACAAUCCUAUUACCUUGCCAGUAUACUUGUGAGAAUUUGAAGUCCACAGUAUGUCUUAGAUGUAGAUCGUCGUCUUUGGAUCUGCUUCAACAUGCAUUCUUCGCAUUUUUAUCUCUUAAAAAGAUACUGGAGACCUUCCCUGAUUGCAGCUGCCUCACUGUAUUGUUCUAUUGGAGAACCUGCAAUCAACCAACAAGUAGUUAUCAGUAACAUCACUAAUAGAAUAACCUAUACCCUCUUCAUGAUGACAAUUCAACCUUGCAUGUCUAGAAUUCUGCGGGAAAUAUUUCCUUAUAAUCUUAAAGACACCCUUACCAAGUCAUAAAACUAACAGUAAAGGCAUUGAAGUUGUGUGCCACAUUUUAAGAAGAUACUGACAUCAGAAUGUGCAUCUCGCAGCAAAUUCCAGUGGAGCACAGAAGACAAGCCGCAGAUGCCAUUGCGAUGGAGGCCUACUGGCGUGUGCAGGAUCCGGUUUAUGGGAGUGUUGGGUUCAUCUCAAUGUUGCAGAGGGAG